rnacentral:rRNA from 2 species
CCUACGGGAGGCAGCAGUGGGGAAUAUUGGACAAUGGGGGCAACCCUGAUCCAGCCAUGCCGCGUGUGUGAAGAAGGCUUUCGGGUUGUAAAGCACUUUCAGUGGGGAAGAAGGCCUGAGGGUUAAUAACCCUGAGGGAGGACAUCACCCACAGAAGAAGCACCGGCUAACUCCGUGCCAGCAGCCGCGGUAAUACGGAGGGUGCGAGCGUUAAUCGGAAUUACUGGGCGUAAAGCGCGCGUAGGUGGCUUGAUAAGCCGGUUGUGAAAGCCCCGGGCUCAACCUGGGAACGGCAUCCGGAACUGUCAGGCUAGAGUGCAGGAGAGGAAGGUAGAAUUCCCGGUGUAGCGGUGAAAUGCGUAGAGAUCGGGAGGAAUACCAGUGGCGAAGGCGGCCUUCUGGACUGACACUGACACUGAGGUGCGAAAGCGUGGGUAGCAAACAGGAUUAGAUACCCUGGUAGUCCACGCCGUAAACGAUGUCGACCAGCCGUUGGGUUCCUCGAGGACUUAGUGGCGCAGUUAACGCGAUAAGUCGACCGCCUGGGGAGUACGGCCGCAAGGUUAAAACUCAAAUGAAUUGACGGGGGCCCGCACAAGCGGUGGAGCAUGUGGUUUAAUUCGAUGCAACGCGAAGAACCUUAC